UAGUCAUAUGCUUGUCUCAAUGACCAACCCAUGCAUGUCUAUGUAUAAACUACUUUAUACUCUAUACCUGCGAACGGCUCAUUAUAUCCGCAAUUAUUUAUUUGUUGGUUCCUCCCUCCAUGGAUAACUGUGGUAAUUUUAGAGCUAAUACACCCGUCAAAUCCCGACUCUCGCGGGGAGGGAUGUCCUUUUUAGAUAAAAAACCAAUGUGUGCUUGCCCCGUCUUGUGGUGAAUCAUACUAACUUUUCGGAUCGCAUAGCUUCACGCUGGCGAUAGUUCAUUCAAAUUUCUCCCCUAUCAGCUUUCGACGGUAGUGUAGUGGACUACCGUGGCGUUAACGGGUGACGGAGAACUAGGGUUUGUUUCCGGAGAGGGAGCUUCCGAAACGGCUACCACAUCCAUGGAAGGCAGCAGGCGCGCAAAUUACCCAAUCCUGAUCACAGGGAGGUAGAGACAAAAAAUAUCAAUAUCUGGCUUUCUUAAGUCGGGUAACUUGGAAUGAGUACAAUAUAAAUCCCUUAUCGACAUACCAGGGGAGGU
rnacentral:rRNA from 1 species